CCACAAUGGGGGAAACCCUGAUGGAGCGACGCCGCGUGCGGGAUGAAGGCCCUAUGGGUUGUAAACCGCUGUUCAGUGGAAAGAACAUCCUCCGGCUGAAUAGGUCGGAGGCCUGACGUUACCACUGCAGAAAGUCCGGCCAACUCCGUGCCAGCAGCCGCGGUAAUACGGGGGGACGAGCGUUGUCCGGGAUCAUUGGGCGUAAAGGGCGCGUAGGCGGCGAGGAAAGCGAAUGGUGAAAAUCUUGCGGCUCAACUGCAAAACUGCGUUCGAAAACUUCCUCGCUUUGAGUAUGAGAGAGGUGUGC
rnacentral:rRNA from 1 species